rnacentral:rRNA from 1 species
GCGCUGGAGAACUGAGGGGGGCUGCUCCUAGUACGAGAGGACCGGAGUGGACGCAUCACUGGUGUUCGGGUUGUCAUGCCAAUGGCACUGCCCGGUAGCUAAAUGCGGAAGAGAUAAGUGCUGAAAGCAUCUAAGCACGAAACUUGCCCCGAGAUGAGUUCUCCCUGACUCCUUGAGAGUCCUGAAGGAACGUUGAAGACGACGACGUUGAUAGGCCGGAUGUGUAAGCGCAGCGAUGCGUUGAGCUAACCGGUACUAAUGAACCGUGAGGCUUAACCUUACAACGCCGAAGGUGUUU